GGGAAACUGGUUAGAUUCCAGUACAGUGCCGCUACGGUAAGUCCAGCCCCACUUUUACAGAAUAAUUUUUUAUUUAAACUUAUAUUAGGUUUAGAUAAAUCUUGAAAAUAAAAAAUUGUCUGAAAGACAAUUUUUUCAGGAAGUUGUUUUGUAAAAGUGGAGCUGGAACAAGUCCGAAUACC
rnacentral:ncRNA from 1 species